UACGUAGGGGGCGAGCGUUGUCCGGAAUUAUUGGGCGUAAAGAGCGUGUAGGCGGCCAGGUAGGUCUGGUGUGAAAACUCGAGGCUUAACCUCGAGAUGUCAUCGGAAACCAUCUGGCUAGAGUCCGGAAGAGGAGAGUGGAAUUCCUGGUGUAGCGGUGAAAUGCGCAGAUAUCAGGAAGAACACCAAUGGCGAAAGCAGCUCUCUGGGACGGUACUGACGCUGAGACGCGAAAGCGUGGGGAGCGAACAGG
rnacentral:rRNA from 1 species